GUCUUUUUGAAUAUAAUUUAAAGUCUAACCUGCCCAAUGAAGUUUAAAUGGCCGCAGUAUUUUGACUGUGCAAAGGUAGCAUAAUCAUUAGUUUUUUAAUUGAAAGCUUGUAUGAAGGGUUGAACGAGAAAAUAACUGUCUCUUUAUUAAUUUUUUAGAAUUUUAUUAUUAAGUUAAAAAGCUUAAAUAACUUUAAAAGACGAGAAGACCCUAUAGAGUUUUAUUAAUUUUAUAAUAAAUUUAUAUAUUGAAUAAUUAGUAUAUUAUUGUAAGAUUACUUUAGUUGGGGUGAUUGAAAAAUUUAAUAAACUUUUUUUUAAAAAAAACAUUAAUAUAUGAAUUCUUGAUCCAUAGUUUAUGAUUAUAAGAUUAAAUUACCUUAGGGAUAACAGCGUAAUUUCUUUGUAGAGUUCAAAUCGAUUAAGAAGUUUGCGACCUCGAUGUUGGAUUAAAAUUAAUUUUUGGUGUAGAAGCUAAAAUAUUAGGUCUGUUCGACCUUUAAAAUUUUACAUGAUCUGAGUUUAAACCGGUGUAAGCCAGGUUGGUUUCUAUCUUUAAAUAAAUAAAAUAUUUUAGUACGAAAGGACCAAAUAUUAUAAAAAUUUUAUUUAAUAUUGAUUAUUAGUAAAU
rnacentral:rRNA from 1 species